CCAUGAUGCCCCUGCAGGGAACUCUGUGAGGAGACUGUGGAGACUUUGUGCUGAGGGGCAGGUGAAACCCCGACAGCUGUUGCAGCAUCUCAUGGUCACUGAACCGGUGAUGAAAUCAUCAAACCUGUGUGCUCGUGUCUCCAGCACGGCCGCAGCAUGUUUCUAAAUGAUGAGCUAAAGCAUGGCAACAGAGUUGUGGUUUGACGCCAGAAAAAGCUCCGAUGCAGAUAAAUUCAGAUCUGUGACAUUCACACUGCUGCUCGCAGGCCUGCAGCUGGACUCAAGCUCCCAGUACCAACCCUCUAAGUCAGAUUUACCUUCACACUUACCUACAGCAUUUACAAAU
ensembl:lncRNA